ensembl:rRNA 5S_rRNA 5S ribosomal RNA
GCUUACGGCCAUACCACCCUGAACACGCCCGAUCUCGUCAGAUCUCGGAAGCUAAGCAGGGUCGGGCCUGGUUAGUACUUGAAUGGGAGACCUCCUCAGAAGCCCAGGUUGCUCUAAGUA